AUUGAACGCUGGCGGCAGGCCUAACACAUGCAAGUCGAACGAGUGGCGGACGGGUGAGUAAUGUCUGGGAAACUGCCUGAUGGAGGGGGAUAACUACGGGAAACGGUAGCUAAUACCGCGUACCAUCCGAUGUGCCCAGAUGGGAUUAGGUUGUUGGUGGGGUAACGGCUCACCAAGGCGACGAUCCCUAGCUGGUCUGAGAGGAUGACCAGCCAAACGGGAACUGAGACACGGCCCAGACUCCUACGGGAGGCAGCAGUGGGGAAUAUUGCACAAUGGGCGCAAGCCUGAGGCAGCCAUGCCGCGUGAAUGAAGAAGGCCUUCGGGUUGUAAAGUACUUUCAGUGGGGAGGCGUUACCCACAGAAGAAGCACCGGCUAACUCCGUGCCAGCAGCCGCGGUAAUAC
rnacentral:rRNA from 1 species